rnacentral:snRNA from 14 species
AAAUAUUCUGGGAUCAGGGAGGUGUUUUUGUUUCCCAGGAUGAGGCUCAUCCUUUGCAUUCCAGGUUUGCAGAGUCCUGUGAAGUUUCCUAAUGAUGGAAACUCAGAAGCAUAUUUGUGGUGAUGGGGUAUGUGUUCACACUCUCCCACA